AAAAGCACCCUGUUCCUGAGGUGCCACCCAUGAAAGGUGCUUGGUCCUGUUUGUAUGACUUCACCUGAUUGAGGUGAUGAGCCGCAGCUGGGAUGCGAAGAGGACGCCGACAGAUAACCAAGAGACUCAACCACAGAGAUGUCCAAGAAUCCUUUGAGAAUCAACACAGCUUUUCAACUUAACUCAACCAAACAAAAAUAACUAUUGAACUCAAAGAAGAAGCUUGGGCUCACCACUCACCACCCACGCCAUCCAGUAUACUCCGGCAGACUGGUGCGCAGAUUUGAGGUCAGGAGUUAAGGUGUCCAAACAGAGAGGAUGCCAAUGAGGCUGCAGGAUCUGAGGGCCCCCCGAAACGACAAGAAGCAGCCGAGCAGAAUAUGGCAGAGCGAUUUUGGAUGAGAAAUGAUGAGGAAGAGAGGAGAAGAGGAGGAGGAGCAUCAUCAUUAGCAAGGGAGUAUGACCCAGUUACGCACAAUGCCUCGAGGGCGGAAAGCAAAGGGGACCGACAGUCGUGCAAACUCACAUGCCGAUAAACACACGUGCGUUUGUCAUACUCUGCCAAGACCCAGACAAGUUCCACAGUAAAGGGCAAGGCAGGUACAAGCCUGGACACGCUGAGGUGAGGUGGUGACAGGAACAGGUCUGAGGCUCUCACACACACAUACAUACAUCACAGAGAGGAGCAGUGACAGAGAAAUCUGAGGCCACACACCAUCAAACUGGCUUUUUCGCUUUCAGUGACCUACAUUCACCACGUUAGAGGAGUGAAGGGGUUGUAGCUGCUGCAUUCUCAUGACCGACAAGCAGACACUCAGCCAUAUCUCCUUCUGUUCCUCUGCCCUGCGGUUUCCCCUCAGCUGAGUAAGCUGGAGCAGUGUUAUGUAUGCUCUAUAUGAAGAGAUGAAAGUGGAAGUUGAGAAGAAAAACUUGCAAAGCAAAGUGAAAUCACAAGAAACGAGUCGUCCUCAGAAACCUUCCUGCAGGGUGAACUAGAUUGAAUUCUCUAAACCGAUGUGACAAAGUGUUCAUCUCAACAAGCCGAGAUGAUGAGUAUGACUAAGCACUUCCCUGACAAUCUGUGCAUCUCUGCCAUCAAAUUCAAGAGCCAUCAGUGUCGGUUACAGCAAGCAGUGGGCUGCAUCUAUCUUUUGUCUGGGUGUCAGAUGGGAAACAUGUUGGAGUGGGCUUCAGAGAGCUCUGCCAUGUGUGUGUUUGUCCUUUGGUUAACGUGCCAGAUUGUCUCCAAGCUGACGAGGCCAAUUCGCUCCCUUCAGUCCUCAUUUCUGUUUUAUUGUUAUAAAAAAAAAAGGGACAAUGGCUGAGCUGUGAACAAAGGCUGGAGGAGAGAUGACGGAUGGCAAACGAUUACUGAAAGUGAUGGAGAAACAUCUCCAAUUCUAAUGGGACAGGAGGGGAGAGGAGGGGGCAGCUGGGGGUCAAAGUGCGGUGAAACCCUGCAGGGAAUUCAGGACAAAGUGUGUGUGCAGGGGAGAAGAAAGGGGGAAGAUCAGGGAUUGUUUGGACCGUCACAGUCCCCAACCGAUUUCCAUAAAUGAGUCAGGGACACGUGCCCAACUGUGUUUGUGUUGCACUGGCAGCUGCUGUCGUGUUUAACGAAUGCAGUGUCAGCGAGGGAGUAAGUUCAACACAUUUAUUUCAGUCUGGAGCUUGACUUUGACUCAGUUCAUCAUCUGUGAGGUUGUUCUGCUGCACCCUGGUCAUGUUUGUGUUUCUUUGCUUCAGAGGUUUUUCCAGAACAUGAAAACCGAAACCAAACUGAACAGAGAGUGGCUUGUUAACGAUACAGCAAGAAGUUUAGGUGCUCGCCCACUAAACUGUGUUAACCAUUAAACUCAUGAAGAAAAACAGGACGGUCGAGAGCUGUGAGAAAAUCUGUCUUUGUAUGAAUCAUUGUUAAAUCUGAAAUCAGAUGAGCAUGUAUAAAAGAACAUUUAAAUAUAGUUACAUGUAUUUGAACUACAAUUUGUUAUGCAAAUGAUCAAACUUUUGACAGCAGACAUACUGUUGGAUUAAAUAUCAUAA